UUAAGAAUUAGAAGGCCAUUUUUUAUUUCAUGUGAAAAUAGAGAUAGAUGGUCCAGAGCGGGAAUGGAAGCCCAGCAAUCACCAGGAAGCCAAACUCCCUCUAUUUUGAUGCUCUGCUUCCCUCGAUAUGCAGCUUUUAUCUUGUGGCCCAAAUGGGCUGCCCCAGCUCCCAACAUCACAUCCCACAUUCCAGUUGGCAGGAAAGAGGAAAGGGGCAGGGUGGAGCAUGUUCCUUUCCUUUACUGGAAUGACUGGGAUAUUGCACGUAUCACUUCUACUCACAGAAUAUAGUUCUGUAGCUAUCCCUAGCCUCUCUGGCUUCUCCAUGCCCUCCCAACCCAGCCUCAGCCAAGAUCUUCCUUCUCAAGGGUCAGGUGGUGUCCUGGUUCCUACAUGUCAAAGCCACAGCCUUAUGGUUUGCUUCCUCAGACUGCAGCUCUAGAAAAUGAAUGGAAUUGUGAAGAGAACUCUCAGCAGGGAGUUGGGGGGUACCUCAACUCCAGCCAUAACCUGCUACAAGCUCAAUGUGAGACCUACACCAAGUUGUUUCUCCUUUCUGGGUAUCAGCAUCUCCAUUUGUAAAUUAUUUAACCCCUUGCCAUGUGUUCUGUCAUCUUCUUCUAGGUUCCAGAACAUUUCUCAUCAUCUUCCACAGAAUUCCAUGAAAUGUGGUGGCUGACUACUGUGGGCAAGCUGGUGUGAGGAGGGUCACUGGGCAGCCACUGGGGAACAUAAGGUGGAAGCCAUAGCAAGAUAAUCAUGGAGACCCUAUUCCCGUUCCGGACCUGGACUCUUACCGUGCUACUCUGUUAUGCUGGGUCUCAGUUUUAAGAAACAAAUCUAUAAUCUAACUGAUACAAGACUUCAUACCAGGAGAAGAAUGUUUCCUCAGCAGAACCCCAGAUAUAUGACACUGACUUUGUACAGUGAUUUUCAAUCUGCAGCAAUUCUCCAAUUCUGCCCCUCUAUGUGGGAUGUUUGGCAAAGUCUGACAACAUUUUAGGUUGUCUUGAAUUGGAGGGAGAUGCCACUAGCAUUCAGUGGGCCAAGGAUGCUGCUAAAUAUCCCACAAUACACAGAACAGACCCCCAGUGCAAAGGAUUAAUUGGUCCAAAAUGUCAACAGUGCCAUGAUAGAGAAACCCUGGCUCAUCAGGAAGUGGUGAGGACACAUGUGUAUAUCCUGGAGAGCUGGUCACUCAUGCUCUGCAACAAUAAAACACUUGGUAAAGCCUGUGGCUCUAGAGGAAACGGUUUUUAAAAACUUAGAAUGCUGGAGUGUGUGGACCACUUCUUGCUGCUGUCAGCAAAGUUAUAGGAAAAGAAAAGAUGGACUAAGAAUGGAGCCAGCCUGUGUGCUGAAGGAGAAAACAUCGUGCUGAAUGAAACAAGCCAGACACAAAAGCUCACGUGUUGUGUGAUUCCUUUUAUGUGAAGUGUCCAGAAUGGACAAAUUCAUAGAGGCAGAAAGUAGAUUAGUGGUUCCCAGGGGCUGGGGUGAGCGGGAAUCUGUAGUGACUGCUUAAGGGGGGGUGGGGUGGUUUUAUUUUGCAGUGACGGAAAUGUUUUGGAACUAGAUAGUGGUGAUGGUUGCAGAACACUGUGAAUGUAAGAACUGAAGCUCUGCUGAAGGAGAGCUUGAUGAGUGAGGAAAGGAGAGGAGAGAGAGAAGGAGAGAAACAGGAGCCAUCCUGAACGUUUAGGCAUAUUAAGUAUAUUUGGAUGAACUUGUUGAUUAAGUUAUUCCUUGCAUUUGGAACUGACCAGAAAUCAAUAGACUGGAAGCCUACUAACUUUCUGAGAGAAUUUUAUUAUUGAAGAAUUUAGAAGUUUGGCUUGUGUCAAAAAAACCCAUAACUGUUCAAUCACCAAAACAUCUCUGGCUCUAACUCUAUAUGAGCAGGAAGUGAACUUUGAGAUCUGCACUCCUCCUCCCCAAGUUUCGAUCUCUUAUGCCUUCUUAAGAUGUAUUUUGGGGAGAACAAUGGACAAAGAAGACCUUCCCAGAGGCAAAGCCAGAAGUUAUGGAGGACACUGGAUAAGGAAAUUUCUUUAAAAAGAGAAGAAUAAAGUGAGAAAGUGAAAUAUCAACCUACCAUCAGCUUCUACCUUUUCCCUCCAUGGUUAAACAUGGACAUCACAUAGCAUAGUCAGAAAAACACCUUGCAUCCUGAGAAAAUCACCUCCAAAUCGCACCUUGUCUUUUCUUAUAUCACUCACAAGUUUUGCCUAGCACUAAACCCCAAAUAGAUUAACUAUGGGGACCCAUGAGAGGCAGCUUCUGACGUUGUUUCCAAUGGUCCUCACUUCCUGGUACUCACUCCCUUCUGUAACCUUCUUGCCUUGAGUGUGGCUAGACCUAGUGACUUAGUUUUAAUGAAUAGAAUAUCUCGUAUCUCAAAGGUGAUGGGAUGUCAUUUCUGAAAUUACUUUACAAAAAGACUGAUUUUUGUCUUGCUCUCUCUGGCUUGUCUCAUUUCCCUUGCUUUUCAUGCUUUGAUGAUGGAGCUGCCAUGUUGCAGAGGCCUGUGUGUCAAGGAAUGAAGGGUGGUCUCUGGGCAACAGCUUGUGAGGAACUGAAUCUUACCAGGACAUUGUGGGUAAGCCUGGCAGCACAGCCUCCCCAAGUAGAGCUGUCAGAGGAGACCACAGCCCAGCUGACAUCUUAACUUCAGUCUUGUGAGAGACCUUUGGACGGAAAAUUGAAAGAUAAUAAAUGUCGUUUCAAGGCA